GGUGAACGCUAGCGACAGGCUUAACACAUGCAAGUCGAGGGGCAGCGGGGAGUAGCAAUACUCUGCCGGCGACCGGCGCACGGGUGAGUAACGCGUAUGCAACUUACCUAUCAGAGGAGAAUAGCUCAUCGAAAGAUGAAUUAAUGCCCCAUAAAACAGGGGUCCCGCAUGGGAAUAUUUGUUAAAGAUUUAUUGCUCAGAGAUAGGCAUGCGUUCCAUUAGGUAGUUGGUGAGGUGACGGCUCACCAAGCCGGCGAUGGGUAGGGGAGCUGAGAGGCUGACCCCCCACACUGGGACUGAGACACGGCCCAG
rnacentral:rRNA from 1 species